rnacentral:rRNA from 1 species
GACGAACGCUGGCGGCGUGCUUAACACAUGCAAGUCGAACGCUGAAGCUUGGUGCUUGCACUGGGUGGAUGAGUGGCGAACGGGUGAGUAAUACGUGAGUAACCUGCCCUUGACUCUGGGAUAAGCCUGGGAAACUGGGUCUAAUACUGGAUAUGACAUGCCACUGCAUGGUGGUGUGUGGAAAGGGUUUUACUGGUUUUGGAUGGGCUCACGGCCUAUCAGCUUGUUGGUGGGGUAAUGGCCUACCAAGGCGACGACGGGUAGCCGGCCUGAGAGGGUGACCGGCCACACUGGGACUGAGACACGGCACAGACUCAUACGGGAGGCAGCAGUGGGGAAUAUUGCACAAUGGGCGGAAGCCUGAUGCAGCGACGCCGCGUGAGGGAUGACGGCCUUCGGGUUGUAAACCUCUUUCAGCACGGAAGAAGCGAGAGUGACGGUACGUGCAGAAGAAGCGCCGGCUAACUACGUG